CCCUUAGACGUUCUGGGCCGCACGCGCGCUACACUGACCAGUGCAACAAGCAUCCGUCCUUGGCCGACAGGCCCGGGCAAUCUUUGAACGCUGGUCGUGAUGGGGAUAGACUUUUGCAAUUUUUGGUCUUCAACGAGGAAUUCCUAGUAAACGCAAGUCAUCAACUUGCAUUGAUUACGUCCCUGCCCUUUGUACACACCGCCCGUCGCACCUACCGAUGGGGUGAUCCGGUGAAUGAUUCGGACUUCCGCAGUGCUAGCUACUAGCUUUGUGGAAGAAAGUCUUGUGAACCUUAUCACUUGGAGGAAGGAGAAGUCGUAACA
rnacentral:rRNA from 1 species